AUUGAACGCUGGCGGCAUGCCUUACACAUGCAAGUCGAACGGCAGCACGGGGCAACCUGGUGGCGAGUGGCGAACGGGUGAGUAAUGCAUCGGAACGUGCCAUUGAGUGGGGGAUAACGUAGCGAAAGUUGCGCUAAUACCGCAUAUUCUGUGAGCAGGAAAGCAGGGGACCGCAAGGCCUUGCGCUCUUUGAGCGGCCGAUGUCAGAUUAGCUAGUUGGUGAGGUAACGGCUUACCAAGGCGACGAUCUGUAGCGGGUCUGAGAGGGUGAUCCGCCACACUGGAACUGAGACACGGUCCAGACUCCUACGGGAGGCAGCAGUGGGGAAUUUUGGACAAUGGGCGCAAGCCUGAUCCAGCCAUGCCGCGUGAGUGAAGAAGGCCU
rnacentral:rRNA from 1 species